UACGAAGGGUGCAAACGUUGCUCGGAAUUACUGGGCGUAAAGCGCGCGUAGGCGGACCUGCAAGUCGGGGGUGAAGGCCCGAGGCUCAACCUCGGAACUGCCUUCGAUACUGCGGGUCUCGAGUCCGGGAGAGGUGAGUGGAAUUCCUAGUGUAGAGGUGAAAUUCGUAGAUAUUAGGAAGAACACCAGUGGCGAAGGCGGCUCACUGGCCCGGUACUGACGCUGAGGCGCGAAAGCGUGGGGAGCAAACAGG
rnacentral:rRNA from 1 species